UUUUUGUCAAAUUUGUUAAAUGCAAUGAUGUUUUAUUAGUUCCAGUAUGACACUCCCAAGCGAAAGCAGAUUGCUAGCACUCCUACAACCUCCAACAAGAAACCAUGAGUGACAAAGAAAGGUUCAUUUUUUAUGGCCCCUCCUACUACUCAUGAAGAUAAUUAAGUCCAAGAUAUUCCUCCUCCGCCACAACAACCAACACCUUAACCAUCCCC
rnacentral:lncRNA from 1 species